UAUUUUAACCCUUCUGUACGUUUUUUAAUAUGUUUUUCUCUUUAAUAAAGUUAUAGCGGAAGAACUAGAGGGUAUUAGCCUCACUCAGACGGACCCAGAUUUUACAUGCGGUAUUAAUCCUGAUGAGUUUGCGAGAGGAUCGGGAAGCGACAGUCUCGCCGAUGAUUUGGAUUUGAUUCUAACCGGGGCUUUGCCAGUGAUCUCGCAAGAUCGCUGCGUUCCGUCCUCUCCUCCGAGAAGCGGAGAUGGUGUAAUAGAAAUAUCAACAACUCCGAGGCCAGUGAGGCCGCAAGUCGCAAGCGUGACACCCAUCUUAAAAGCCUGCGACGCGCGAAGAGACGGAGAUUAGUCAGUAAGAGUCCGUCGCUAGUGAAGAGGUUGUUUACAGAUUCAGUCGAAUCACCCACGUGUUCACCCGCGUGUUCAACCAGGGAAGUGGGUCGUGGAUCUCAAUGCGUGAUUAACGAGACCGAAGCGGAGACCGAAUCGGAUAACGGCCCCGAACCAAAUCAGGAAGUAGAGCAAUGUCAGAGAGAGCGCCAGGGUCCCACCUUUGACAGCGUCAGAGAUCUGGUGGAGGAUUACCUAAGGAUCUCCGGGGAGAGAGGGGUGGCGGGCGCUAUCGAGAUCCCUCAGCACGGAGUAACUCAUGAUAAAAAGGGUUUCUAGUUAAAAAACUCGACAGUUCAGAAAGUUUCGGGUUGUAUACAACAAAAGACGACUCUUUCCGGGCGGUACUACUCUGCUGUUCGGAUAUUAAUCUAUAUUUUUAUUUAUUUAUUUGUUUAUUUAUUUAUUUGUUUAUUUUUUUCUUUUAUUUUUUUUGGAGGGGCGAAUAAAUAAAAUGUCACAUCUCGAGGUUAUAGAAGAAACAGAUUUCGAACACAGGUUCGUCUGUCCUUUAUCUUGUGUAAUAGCAGGCCCUAGUGGCUGUGGGAAAACCUGUUUUGUAAAGAGUGUACUGGAAUGUUCUGAACGUGUCAUGAAUGUCGUACCCGAAAACAUUGUAUGGGUCUACACUUCUUACCAGCCUAUGUACGAUGAAUUGCAAAAGAUGAAUAAAAAGAUCAAAUUUGUCAAAGGGCUUCCUGAUUCUUUCAAAGAUGAAAACCUGUUUCCUCAGGUCUUAAACCAUUUGAUCAUUCUGGACAUUAUCUUUCAAGCAUUCGAACGUCCUGAAGUGGUUAAAAUUUUCACUCAGUACAGACACCACAGAAACAUGAGCAUCAUGAUGCUGACUCAAAACGUGUUUCAGCGAGGUAAACACAACCGUACCAUUAGCCUGAACAGUAAUUAUCUGGUAUUGUUUAAAAACCCUCGGGAUAAACUACAGGUGAGCGUAUUAGCCCAUCAGAUCUUUCCCUCGCAAAAGGGUUAUUUCUUGGAAUGUUUCGAAGACGCUACCAGAGAUCCUCACGGCUAUUUAAUCAUCGACCUCACCCCGGGGUGCCCAGACAUAUACAGGCUGAGGAGUGGUCUGCUUCUUCACCAGCGCUCGACCGUGUAUGUCCCAAUAACGUCAUGACGGGUGACGUUCGCAAUACAAAAAAUGCACCCCUUCGCAAUACAAAAAACUCAAAAAGUGGAGAAAAAUUAUCAGGCUGUUGGCGGGUGAAAAAACCUGUUUAAAGAGCAAACAUAGGGUUCUGAAGAAACAGACUGGUGGGUUUCCUCAGGGUCGCAAGAACAAAUUAAAGGAGAGUGGCAGGGGUUGGAAUUCGAAGGGGGAAUUUGUUUAUAAGGGUGAGACGGCGAAAGGGUCUCAUAUGAUCAAUUUAUUCAAACAUCUUUCUCUCUCCAGAAAUCUCCCGCCAGUUGGAUGCAAUUUCUGAAUACUCUAUCGGAACUGAACGUCCCUUUAUCUUCAGUAAAUAACCCGCACGCUCACGAACAAUACUGCUCCCUGAAGGAAGGUACCGUUACCGGUUUAAAAUCACAUCCUAAAAGCGCCUCUGCAUCGUUAUCCCCACGUUGGAUCACACCCUCGGCACCUCACACCUCUAAGAAGCUCGGGAGCAAUAAACGAAUCGUUCUGUCCCCUCGAUGGAUCGAGUAUUUGCAAUAAUAAUAAUUAUUUUAUCAAUAAAGAGUUUAAUUAAUCGAAUCAUUAUGCGUACAGUCUUUCAUUUUUCACAACUUGUAUUCAUAAGCAGAUAAAGAACAACGACCCUGUCCCCCGCAGUAACCGCUUUUAUUUUUAACCCCACAUUUUUUCACAAAGUCAUACACCAUAAGAUCGUUUUUUAUCAAGUCCUCCUCAUCGUACAAAGACAAUACUUGGUCGAAAGAUAAGCCUCUGGCUCGCUGGUAAAGAUAAUAGACGCAGUGAUCGACAUAGACUGUUGUAAUUGAGCGCUGUAGUACUUGAUGUUUUCGGAGCGUUUUUCCAAAAACUGCAGGAUGCUCGAAGUCCGGGGGAAAUCCGUAAGAGUCAAAAAAUGUGGCUUCACCCCCUUUUUUCCAGGGUUAAUGCUAACCAAUGCUCGCCGGGCAUGUGCGUGUUGACCACAAAGUAGGCGGGAGGUCUAAAGGGCGGAUUCAGACAGGGUAGGUGGUCGGAAGCCCACACGCCACGAAAUACGUUCCUCGGAAGAUGCUGCAAAAGACUCUCUAGCUGAAGAUUAUCCAUGUUUAGUAAUAAUUCACCAACACCUGUCUUUUAGAGUCAAUCUCUAGAAUAGAAUCGUAACAAGCGUAGACGAUAAGAGUAUUGGUAUUCGCUAAAGGCACUCUGAAUCUCAUCUCCAGUCUCAAAUUACCGCUCGAUACGACCGACAACGCAUCAUUGUCGUCGGCCGGGUUGAGAUUAAAAGCGAACAAGGCGUAUCCUUCUUUAAAUUCGCUGCGGUUAAUACUCAGAGGUAAAUCUUUCAGAUGUCUCCCGGUAGCCAUGAACAUGUUGUAAAACUCUCUGACGGAUUGUCUGUUUUUAAAUUGGGGCUGGAAAGCCUUGGCGGGGAUCUGUCUGCCGUCCUGACACAGAGCCAGGUAUUCUACGUCGUUAUGUACAAAGUUAAAUGGGGACAGGUCUCUUCUCCCCGUGAAUGUUUCGUGAUGCACCAUACCUAAAACCACAUAUUUAGGAGUGGUUCCGAGAAAUAGAUUCUCCUGGUUACAUAUCCUAGAGUUUGCUGGGAUGGAAUAGGUUUUAACGAUGACGCGUGAGAGGGGAUAGAGAGCGUUGGCUUUCAUCAGGGCCGCUGCGUGCCCUAACCGCACGGCAGGGGCUACGGUCACUUUUUUCACAAAGAGAGAUGCUCCCAGCACGUUCAGCCGGAAUCCCGAGUCGCGCGCUCCCAUGAGACAGAAUGCGUCGCCUGCACGUGUCAGUUUGACCCUCAGGUCGACCAAGUUCAGCAAAAGUCUCUCACAGAAAAAUAUGUCCCCAUGGAGAGGGCCAAGCAGGUGCACUUCUCUAGAAUUAGCGCUGUAAUCCUCUGUUAGGACCAUUGGCGAUCACUACAGAGUCCAUGGCUCCUGCCGUGUCUUUGUAAAAAAGACUGGCGGUGAAUUGACUCCCGAGGGUAUCCGGUGAAAAGUUGAGCAGAGUCUCGAUCAUGGCACGGUAGGGAUGUGUGGCGCUCAAUUGGAAGAUUAAACGAUCCCCCAGAAUGACGUCGUAUUGACUGAAUAUCGUAUUCAGAGGGUAAUUGAUGAGCCUUACCGCUGCCGCGUCGGCCAGGUCCCUACCAUCGGCGUUGGUGAUUUUCACGCGGAGAUGCAACAUGAUGUCGUUCAGAUCCAGAUACUUUUCCCCAUCUCCGGGGGUGAAAAACACGAUGGGUCCCGUGUCCCGUGAUGGCGGACACGGGGGAGAUUUCGUUGUAUAUUUUAUCUUCAAUCGAAAGCCGAGUCAUAGGUGCAGAAAAUAGAUCCAGCUCGCGCAGCGUGCACUCGGGGGAUUUCUGAUGCAAGAGAGCCAUGUUUUUUUGUUUGAAUUUCCCCUACGUCAGUUAAAAUAUAUCGGAGCUCCGGGAGGGUUUCCUCUUCGCGCGACCGCUUCUGCCAACUGUUUUCUUCUUCUUACCCGUCGAACGUUUAUUAGAACUCAACGAGAGGCGCUCCCCCGGAGGUCGUCUCCUCACCCUUCGUGACAAAACCACGAUCCCCCCGACUCCUCUUGUUUUUUCCGAUCGUCGAAGCUCGACAUUUUCCCCACCACUCUACCGACCGCGUCCGUAGCGAUACGGGUGGCGGCCGUUUUAAGAUGGGGUUUGGCAAUGUCAAACCCUUUUUUCAACAGGGGAGAUACGAAACGAAACAGUUUUGAGAAUAUCGAGCCGAUACCACGGCCGUACAUUACAGGGGCUCCGUAAAAUCCUCCUAACUCGCUUCCUGCCUGAUUUUCGUAGUAACAGACGAAUCUGUGAGAGUCUUCCAUCGCUAGUAACUGAGCCAUUUUAUUUUUUAAUCCAUUCUCCGACACCCUCGAACAUAGCUUCUUCCUCUCCGGCCUGAGAUUGAAUGACGGUCGCGUUAAAGGAUGGAUUAUAUAUAUUUAUACACCGUAUGUUUUUGGUCUAAAGUGAAGCUUCCUGUAAGUGAAUUCUACCUCUUGGUUCUGAUCCGUUUUUAUCUCGACCUUUAUGUUCUCGAUGUGCCAUUUGCUCAGCGGUAAAUAAUACUGCAGGUCGAAAUGCAAUGUGACUACAUCCCCAUACGCUCCGUGCACAUCGACCACCCUCAUCAGCGGGGCGUGAGCGUCGCCUAUCAGCUGAGGGCGAACGGCGUCGCAGUAACAGAACAUGUGAUAAAAUCCCACUCGUAGAUCAUCGGGGUAUUCGGCCAGCUUCCUGUCAAAUUCGAUCCAUUCUCUGGGUCUCACACCCAUAAUGUAAGCGAACGGUGGGUAAAACCGCACAUGAGUCUGACCGCCCGCUUGGAAAUCGAAUUUUCUCAGAUAAUUGUUGUAGGACAGGUAAAUAUCAGAGUUGAUUUUUCUAAACGAAGCAUCCAUCUCCGUUUUGAACUGUCCCAGGUUAGUGAAUUUGUGUUCUUCGGGUACGGUAUACCAGGUAUGAGGAUAGGAAAUCUCCGUCAAGGCGAUCUCCCAUUCCCCUUCCAGAUCGAUAUGCUGGGCCAGAUCCAUGUGGUAACUGGAGAUUUUGUUAUCUUUAAAAACAUCGAGGCUGGCGUUGGAUGGCAGGAUGAUGUAAAAAUCCUCGUGCUUUGGCCCGUACAUGACUGGGAAAUGAUGAGCCCUCGCAGACGUCGUCCGUUUUUUACAUAUUUUUUAAAUUGCUCUCUCUGAUCCAGCUGUUGAAUUUCUUGGGCCAGUUUUUCCACUGUACAAAGACCUGAUUUCGGUACCUGAAACUCGUAUCAAACACCCCUCUUAAUUUCGAUAUCCUGAUGAGAUCCCCCGUCUCAAAACCCAUCUUCAAUCUAGCCUUCCGGACUGGCAGCUUUCCGUACAGGUUCUGAAACACUCGAUCGACGUUCUCCAAGGUCACCUGAGCCGGCACCAUUUUAAUGCUGUUGUGAUAACUGUUAUUGUAGCUUUUCACCAAGUCCUGCAGCACGUCGAGGUAUCGCAAGGUGUUGUUAGCUGUGAAAUAUCUCCACAUUCGACCUUUUAAAGUACGAUUAUUAAUAUUUUGACCACCGAAGCUUUGAGUUCGCUGUAUGUGGAAAAAUGCACGAUGCCGUGUUUUUUCAUCAAACCCUCCAAAGCCUUGUUAAAAAAUUCUUUUCCGGUGUCGGUCUGUAACUUUACAGGUGUCUGGCUUUCAGAGAAAACGGAUUCUAGAGUCUUUACCACCUCCGUGGAUGUUUUUCUUUUGAGAGUUUUGACGUAAGCUUUCUUGGAAAAUACGUCUAUGACCGUUAAUAAAUAAUUGUACCCAUCAUUAUAAACCGAUAAAGCCUGCAUAUCGCACAGGUCGGCUUGAAAUUGGUUCAAGGGACACGGGGCAAAAACUCUAUUUCUAGUAAAAUGUAUUCUGGCUGGUUUGUGUAGAGUAUAAGCAUCCUGCUCCGAUAAAAAAUCUUUUACCCUUUCCACAGACGGCGGCUUCCCCUUUUCAUCUCCCACGGCCCUUCGCAGUCUUUCUACCCCUCCGAAGCUACCGGGAUCGUAAUACGCUUUUUUCAUCGCACGCUUCUCGGACAUGGCCAAACCGAAAUGAGAGAGAAAAAGGCAAGGACUGAGAUUCAAAUUCUUUUUAUACACACAGAGAGAGGCGAGAUUCUUUAUUCAGAAUCUUGCAGUAAAGUGGGUUUAUGGUUCAGCUACCCACUAGAUGACAGUAGUAGGUAGUUGUAAGGGGAUUUUCAUGUUCGCAGGGAGUGAGGAGCGAGCAGGCGCAUGCAUCAGAAAAGCAAUAAUGUUGUUAGCUUGGGCAGCUUAUUUUCAUGUCUUCAGGUAUUGUUAAUAAAGACAUAAGAUACAGAGCUGUUGGCUCGGCGUUACUACAACUUUUUAUUCAACUUUUUUUUUAUACACACAGAGAAAGGUGUGAUUCUUUAUUCAGACUUUUUAUUCAACUUUUUUUAUACACACACACACAAACGUUAUUAAUGUUUUAUCAUAAACAAAGUUUGAACCAAGAUUGAAUGACCCAGAAUACCGCAUAGUAGCAGCAAAAACACACUGAAUAAUUGAAUAUAUAAUAGUAUAGAAUAAAAUAUAAGAGGUAGCAGCAAAAACACAGUGAAUAACUGAAUAUAUAAUAGUAUAGAAUAAAAUCAAACACACGCAUGCAAAAACUAUAUACAUAUACGUGUCAGCAGUAAAAUCAAACUACAAGCGUAUAUAAUAGCUAGUGGCACAGCAAAAAACACAGUGAAUAAUCGAAUAUAUAAUAGUAUAGAAUAAAAUAUAAGAGGUAGCAGCAAAAAAACACACCGAAUAAAUGCAUAUAUGAUGGCAUGGAAUAAAAUCAAGUUAAACAGGAAUAUCGGCACUCGCUGACUAGCUUUGCGAAACGCUCUAUUCUCUCCUCGUAAGGUUUGAUAUCAUCGUACAUUCGGUAGAUGCGCUCGUAGAUCGAUCCUCCUGAUCUAUACCCCAGCAAAAGAAUCUCUGUUGCUGUCCUAAUUUCGCCGCUCUUGCACGUCUCGUAAAAUCCGUAGCUGUCCAUAUAUUUCUCAACGGCUUCGAUGAACAGUGGGUUCCACAGCUUCCGCACCACACCGUGAAAGCCGGUCUGAUAGAUGUUGUCGGCCGGGUCGAGCAAGCACGUGU